rnacentral:rRNA from 1 species
UCAGUUCGGAUUGUAGGCUGCAACUCGCCUACAUGAAGUUGGAAUCGCUAGUAAUCGCGAAUCAGAAUGUCGCGGUGAAUACGUUCCCGGGUCUUGUACACACCGCCCGUCACACCACGAGAGUUUACAACACCCGAAGUCAGUGGCCUAACCGCAAGGAGGGAGCUGCCUAAGGUGGGGUAGAUGAUUGGGGUGAAGUCGUAACAAGGUAAC